AUUGCAGUGAGUUACGCGUUAACCAGCUCUUCUCUGGUGACGAGUUUUUCAUCAUUGUUGGCUGAGCAAAUAGGCAUUUUAUUUCUUGUGUGAUAAACACCAAAUAGGCCUUAGUUUGCAGACACGCUUCAGAACUGUACUUAAUUAUUUUUGUGCAAAAUAAAUUCAAACUUGCAGUGAACUUGUUACCAAAACUUCAGUGUUACAGUUCACUGUAUAUUAAAAGCUAAGUACAAAUGAGGUGAGCAUACAUCAGCAUGAAACGCUUGGAAUGGAAGAAGUGCUUAACACAGGUUUUGUUUAUCCAGUGACAUAGGGUUAUGUAUUGACCUGAACUACACCUAAAUCAAGAUCUGCUUUCCUAAAACAAUUUUGUAGUUCUGCCAGUCUAGCAGUAACCUGUGGCCAAUGGAAGAGGAGCUGGUGAGACAUCCAAAGUUUUCUAUGGCUCUUUAUGGAUGGUUUAUGGAAUGUGUAUAGUGGGCAGAGUUGUCUGGAAUGGAGAAGUUACUCUGUGUAGUGCUACCAUAUCCCAGACUUGUUUGUGAUACAUCAUCCACUAGAUUAGUGCUCAUAUUCUACCUGCUAUCAAGGAUAGAUUUAGGUUGGUUGCAGGAAGCUUUAGCUGCUGUGUUCUGGUUUUCACUGAAUGCUAGAAAGUGCAGCUCACUUGGAACUGGUAAUGCAGUGGUAUUUAGUUAUCUAGUACCCUUGCUAUGAAGACUAAGCCUUAAGUUAUGUCUGUGAAUCUUGAAUUUCACAAGUUAUUCAGUGGCUGAAUGCCAUGAAGACUGCAGCUACUACAGGAAAAAAUGUUAGAUAAAUUUUCUAAUUUAUGUUAUUCAAAUAAGGGACAAAAACAAGUACAGUGAAAGGUAGUGCUCAGUAAAAUUGAUUCCUGCUGAAUAACUUGCUGUAGUUCUUAAUGACUAUAAGGCUGAGCAGUAGAUUUAUGUGUGCUCUGAUGAAUGGGCAAAGGCAUUGCCUUGCUUUUUUUUCUAUUCUUUUAGAGUGAAAGGGGUGGUCUCCAAGUGAAUGUGAGUCACUUAAAUUCUUAUUCCCAAACCAUCUGGCAGGUUUUCUGUAGAGAAAGCAAAGCCAAGGGCUGUAAUAAACACUUAAUAUCAAGUCUCCAGAUAGUUGGAAGUGGAAAAAUGUAAUAAUAUUCAUCUGUUACAAGAAGAAAUGAAUCCUUAGAAGUUAAAUAAUAAGAUAUUGGCAGUUUUGAAACAGACGUAGCUAAAAGUUUCUACAGUACAUGGGGUAUGUUUUUAACAUUUCUCUGUGUGUAUAUUGAUGUUUAUCUAUGAAAAGAAGGAAUCUGAAGACUUGGGAUAGAAAAUUGCCUGGCUGUUAGUCAGAAUACCUUGAGUUAUGAUCUCCAGCUGAAAAAAUCUGGCCUCCAUUUUCCUGCUUUUUAUGGAGUUGCUGUGUGGAAUACCAAACAACCAGUUGAAAAUAUACUUGAUGAUGUUAAGUAUUAUUUGUGUGACAUGCAGUGGAACUUAGUAAAGUGCCUAAAGAGAGGCUGCAGGAGGAAUUUUUUCCUGAAGUGCAAGUGGGACUUGUUUUCUGAGAUUCUCAGCUAAUAGGAAAAUGGGAUUUAAGUUCAUAAAUCACGUGUGUUCUUCUGAAGAUAUUUCUCAGUUUUCUUGAAGAAUAUUUUGGGUGCUCUGUAGAUAACUA